rnacentral:rRNA from 1 species
AAUGAGCCUGCGAGUUGUGGUGUCUGGCAAGGUUAAGCAAACGCGAAGCCGUAGCGAAAGCGAGUCUGAAUAGGGCGCUUAGUCAGAUGCUGCAGACCCGAAACGAAGUGAUCUAUCCAUGAGCAAGUUGAAGCUAGUGUAAGAACUAGUGGAGGACUGAACCCAUAGGCGUUGAAAAGCCCCGGGAUGACUUGUGGAUAGGGGUGAAAGGCCAAUCAAACUUCGUGAUAGCUGGUUCUCUCCGAAAUAUAUUUAGGUAUAGCGUUGUGUCGUAAUAUAAGGGGGUAGAGCACUGAAUGGGCUAGGGCAUACACCAAUGUACCAAACCCUAUCAAACUCCGAAUACCUUAUAUGUAAUCACAGCAGUCAGGCGGCGAGUGAUAAAAUCCGUCGUCAAGAGGGAAACAACCCAGACUACCAGCUAAGGUCCCUAAAUCUUACUUAAGUGGAAAACGAUGUGAAGUUACUUAAACAACCAGGAGGUUGGCUUAGAAGCAGCCAUCCUUUAAAGAAAGCGUAAUAGCUCACUGGUCUAGUGAUUUUGCGCGGAAAAUAUAACGGGGCUAAAGUAAGUACCGAAGCUGUAGACUUGAUUUUAUCAAGUGGUAGGAGAGCGUUCUAUUUGCGCCGAAGGUAUACCGGUAAGGAGUGCUGGAGCGAAUAGAAGUGAGCAUGCAGGCAUGAGUAGCGAUAAUUAAUGUGAGAAUCAUUAACGCCGUAAACCCAAGGUUUCCUACGCGAUGCUCGUCAUCGUAGGGUUAGUCGGGUCCUAAGUCGAGUCCGAAAGGGGUAGACGAUGGCAAAUUGGUUAAUAUUCCAAUACCAACAUUAGUGUGCGAUGGAAGGACGCUUAGGGCUAAGGGGGCUAGCGGAUGGAAGUGCUAGUCUAAGGUCGUAGGAGGUUAUACAGGCAAAUCCGUAUAACAAUACUCCGAGAACUGAAAGGCUUUUUGAAGUCUUCGGAUGGAUAGAAGAACCCCUGAUGCCGUCGAGCCAAGAAAAGUUUCUAAGUUUAGCUAAUGUUGCCCGUACCGUAAACCGACACAGGUGGGUGGGAUGAGUAUUCUAAGGCGCGUGGAAGAACUCUCUUUAAGGAACUCUGCAAAAUAGCACCGUAUCUUCGGUAUAAGGUGUGGUUCGCUUCGUAUUAGGAUUUACUCCGAAAGCGAAGAAACUUACAACAAAGAGUCCCUCCCGACUGUUUACCAAAAACACAGCACUCUGCUAACUCGUAAGAGGAUGUAUAGGGUGUGACGCCUGCCCGGUGCUCGAAGGUUAAUUGAUGGGGUUAGCAUUAGCGAAGCUCUUGAUCGAAGCCCGAGUAAACGGCGGCCGUAACUAUAACGGUCCUAAGGUAGCGAAAUUCCUUGUCGGUUAAAUACCGACCUGCAUGAAUGGCGUAACGAGAUGGGAGCUGUCUCAAAGAGGGAUCCAGUGAAAUUGUAGUGGAGGUGAAAAUUCCUCCUACCCGCGGCAAGACGGAAAGACCCCGUGGACCUUUACUACAGCUUGACACUGCUAUUUGGAUAAGAAUGUGCAGGAUAGGUGGGAGGCUUUGAGUAUAUGACGCCAGUUGUAUAUGAGCCAUUGUUGAGAUACCACUCUUUCUUAUUUGGGUAGCUAACCAGCUUGAGUUAUCCUCAAGUGGGACAAUGUCUGGUGGGUAGUUUGACUGGGGCGGUCGCCUCCCAAAUAAUAACGGAGGCUUACAAAGGUUGGCUCAGAACGGUUGGAAAUCGUUCGUAGAGUAUAAAGGUAUAAGCCAGCUUAACUGCAAGACAUACAAGUCAAGCAGAGACGAAAGUCGGUCUUAGUGAUCCGGUGGUUCUGUGUGGAAGGGCCAUCGCUCAAAGGAUAAAAGGUACCCCGGGGAUAACAGGCUGAUCUCCCCCAAGAGCUCACAUCGACGGGGAGGUUUGGCACCUCGAUGUCGGCUCAUCGCAUCCUGGGGCUGGAGCAGGUCCCAAGGGUAUGGCUGUUCGCCAUUUAAAGCGGUACGCGAGCUGGGUUCAGAACGUCGUGAGACAGUUCGGUCCCUAUCUGCCGUGGGCGUAAGAAGAUUGAAGAGAUUUGACCCUAGUACGAGAGGACCGGGUUGAACAAACCACUGGUGUAGCUGUUGUUCUGCCAAGAGCAUCGCAGCGUAGCUAAGUUUGGAAAGGAUAAACGCUGAAAGCAUCUAAGCGUGAAGCCAACUCUAAGAUGAAUCUUCUCUAAGCUCUCUAGAAGACUACUAGUUUGAUAGGCUGGGUGUGUAAUGGAUGAAAGUCCUUUAGCUGACCAGUACUAAUAGAGCGUUUGGCUUAUCUUU